UACGGUCAAGCUACGAAGGGCGCACGGUGGAUGCCUAGGCAUCGAGAGGCGAAGAAGGACGUGGACAGCUGCGAAAAGCCUCGGGGAGCUGCGAACAAGCGUUGAUCCGGGGAUUUCCGAAUCGGAAAACCGACUGAGCUAAUACUCAGUGACCACCCGCUGAAUACAUAGGCGGUUGGUGGCCAACCCAGGGAACUGAAACAUCUAAGUACCUGGUGGAAAGAAAAUCAAUUGAGACUCCCCUAGUAGCGGCGAGCGAACGGGGAUCAGCCUAAACCAAUACAGUGUAAGCCAAGGGGCGUUGCUGUAUCGGGGUCGUGGGACGUUCAGGAGGUACCCUUGCCCUCCACGAAGUUACAAAUCCACUCGCUAGUUGAACGGCAUGGAAAGGCCGGCCAGAGAAGGUGACAGCCCUGUACGCGAAAGUGAGUGGACUUCGGAAAUGUUCCCGAGUACCGCAGGACACGUGACAUCCGGCGGGAAUCUGGGAGGACCAUCUUCCAAGGCUAAGUACUACUCGAUGACCGAUAGUGAACAAGUACCGUGAGGGAAAGGUGAAANGCACCCCGGUUAGGGGAGUGAAAUAGUACCUGAAACCGUGCGUCUACAAGCAGUUGAAGCACUAUGCCCUUUUAGGGAAUGUGCAACAGCGUACCUUUUGCAUCAUGGGCCUGCGAGUUAUCCUAUGUCGCAAGGUUAAGCCGAGAGGUGUAGCCGGAGCGAAAGCGAGUUCGAAUAGAGCGACUCAGUGGCAUGGGAUAGACCCGAAACCUGGUGAUCUAUCCAUGGGCAGGUUGAAGCGCGGGUAAAACCGCGUGGAGGACCGAACCCACUCAAGUUGAAAAUUGAGGGGAUGACCUGUGGAUCGGAGUGAAAGGCUAAUCAAACCAGGAGAUAGCUGGUUCUCCGCGAAAUAUAUUGAGGUAUAGCCUCGGACGAAUUGCACCGGAGGUAGAGCACUGAAUGGGCUAGGGGUCUUACCCGAUUACCAAACCCAAUCAAACUCCGAAUGCCGGUGACAAGUAUCCGGGAGUCAGGCUGCGGGUGAUAAGGUCCGUAGCCGAGAGGGAAAGAGCCCAGAUCGACAGCUAAGGUCCCUAAAUCCAGACUAAGUGUAGAAGGAUGUGGGAGCGCUCAGACAGCCAGGAGGUUGGCUUAGAAGCAGCCACCCUUUAAAGAAAGCGUAAUAGCUCACUGGUCGAGCGAGCCUGCGCCGAAAAUGUAACGGGGCUAAGUCUGGUACCGAAGCUUCGGGUUCUACUUUGUAGAGCGGUAGCGGAGUAUUCUCAGAUAGAUACGAGGUGUACCGUAAGGAGCGCUGAUGGAUCUGAGAAGAGCUUAUGCAGGCAUGAGUAGCGAUAAACAGAGUGAGAAACUCUGUCGCCGUAAGCCCAAGGUUUCCUGGGGAAGGAUAAUCCUCCCAUGGGUUAGUCGGAACCUAAGCUGAGCCCGAAAGGGGUAGGCGAUGGCAAGCUGGUUAAUAUUCCAGCACUAGCAUUGAUGACGUUGAACUAAGCAGGGACGGAGAAGGAUAGGCCGAGCUGGCCGUUUGGUUGUGCCAGUUCAAGCGCGUAGGAGGACGUCGUAGGACCCAGUAGGGACAAACGCGAUGUCAACUCCGAGACGUGAUGAGGUGAGUCUUCGGACUCGUAACUCGGUGAUUCCAGGCUUCCGAGAAAAGCUGCGUAGUGAGUCCCAGUGCUAUCCGUACCGCAAACCGACUCAGGUGGGCGGGGUGAGCAUCCCAAGGCGCGUGAGAAAAUGCUGGCUAAGGAACUCGGCAAAUUGGCACCGUAACUUCGGGAGAAGGUGCGCCCCUAGUGGUGAUGAGCUCGCGCUCUGAGCUGCCGGGGGUUGCAGUGACCAGGGGGUUGCGACUGUUUACUAAAAACACAGGACUCUGCGAAAUCGUAAGAUGACGUAUAGGGUCUGACGCCUGCCCGGUGCUGGAAGGUUAAGGGGAGAUGUUAGUCCUUGUGGCGAAGCUUCGAACCGAAGCCCCAGUAAACGGCGGCCGUAACUAUAACGGUCCUAAGGUAGCGAAAUUCCUUGUCGGGUAAGUUCCGACCUGCACGAAUGGCGUAACGACAUCCCCACUGUCUCGGCCAGCAACUCAGCGAAAUUGUACUGAGGGUGAAGAUACCCUCUACCCGCGGCAAGACGGAAAGACCCCGUGAACCUUCACUGCAACUUGGCAGUGAUGCUCGGAACAGUCUGCGCAGGAUAGGUGGGAGGCUUUGAAGUCGGGAUUUUGGUCCCGAUGGAGCCACCCUUGAGAUACCACCCUGGCUGUUCUGGGCGUCUAACCCAGGCCCGUUAUCCGGGUCGGGGACACUGUCUGGUGGGCAGUUUGACUGGGGCGGUCGCCUCCCAAAAAGUAACGGAGGCGCGCGAUGGUUCCCUCAGGCUGAUUGGAAACCAGCCGUAGAGUGCAAAGGCAUAAGGGAGCUUGACUGUGAGAGUGACAACUCGAGCAGGUGCGAAAGCAGGCCUUAGUGAUCCGGUAUCUCCGAAUGGAAGGGAUAUCGCUCAACGGAUAAAAGGUACUCCGGGGAUAACAGGCUGAUCGCGCCUGAGAGUCCAUAUCGGCGGCGCGGUUUGGCACCUCGAUGUCGGCUCAUCCCAUCCUGGGGCUGGAGCAGGUCCCAAGGGUUUGGCUGUUCGCCAAUUAAAGGGGUACGCGAGCUGGGUUUAGAACGUCGUGAGACAGUUCGGUCCCUAUCUGCCGUGGGCGCAGGACACUUGAGAGGAUCUGACCAUAGUACGAGAGGACCUGGUUGGACGUACCUCUAGUGAGCCGGUUGUUCUGCCAAGGGCAUCGCCGGGUAGCUAUGUACGGAACGGAUAACCGCUGAAAGCAUCUAAGCGGGAAGCCGGCCUCGAGAUGAGGUGUCCCGGACCGCAAGGUCCCUAAAGGCCCCUUGAAGACUACGAGGAAAUAGGCCGGAUGUGGAAGCAUAGUAAUAUGCGGAGCUGACCGGUACUAAUCGGCCGUGAGGCUUGACCUA
rnacentral:rRNA from 1 species